CUUUAAAACUCUUAAACAAGCCUGUUUCCCAUAAGUUCAGAAUCAUAAUUUAAUUUUAAGAUCUGUACAGACUCAGCGAAUAACUCAGCCUUGCCACACUAGGCAGCUCAUAGGCAAAACAUAUUUCAGUUCAACAUGCGACCCCAUAAUGCCUCAAUAUUACCAGCUUAUUUAUGCUAAAUGAAUCACACGACUGUCUUAUCUGUUAGCUGUUAUGUUGAUCCCACUCUUUCUAAAUCUACAUUAAUCCAUAAAAUGUGCAAUGUUAUAUUAUGCCACACAAAUGUCUCUACUAUGUUGACCAUUACGCUAGCAAAUGCUGUUGUGGCAUUGCUUGUUG